UUUGUUGGUCUUUUGACCCCUCGUUGGCUUGCUCAGUUGCUCUCUUCUUCUAUAAAUAACAGCCAUGGGGGAGGAAGAGGUCUAUAGGCAGAGUUGCUAAUAGCUGUGUUCUUCCCUUGUUUUCCAUACUUCUACCAAGCUUUGCUUAGUUAUAUAUUCCCUCCCUUUUUCCCACUCAUAUAUACAUUCAUAAAAACUCGUAUUAUGGCCCAAAACAAAGUACCCGUUCUUAUUCUCCUUUUGCUUGUUUUCUUCCUGGAAAUUCAGUGCAUUGUCGGAAGGCAUUUGAUGUUGGACCAAGACCACCAUUUCCAUAAGGCCCAUACUUAUGGUAGAUCCUAGCAAAGGAAACAGGGACUAUUCUUGAUUGCAAAACAAACUUGCAUGGUGUUCAAAUUGAUAAAGUAGCUGUUGCCGACACGCAGUCUCCACCUUCACCACCAAGUGUGGCUAUAGGAGUAACCGAGGCUCCACCACCCAAAAACGAAAACGACUUCAGGCCACAUCUCCUGGCCACAGUCCUGGGGUUGGGCAUUCCCUUCAAAACUAGGAAAAGUUUUUGCAAAGUGCUGCAUCAGUAGUACUGCUCCAUCUCCAAGUUAAGCGCUCAUUGCAACAGAUGGUAUUCAACAUGGUGACAGCAACUUUGAUCCUGGAACGAAUUCAGUGUGGUUUGAUUUCUCUAUUUGACGUGUCUUGGUUUCAGUUUCAGUUUGAACUGUCUAGGUUUGAUUGUUGUGCGAAAAUAAUUAGUGUAAGUCCAAGACAAAAAACAAACAAAAAAAAAAAUCAAUUUGUUAUUUCCCUGUCAGUGUUUUGUAANNNNNNNNNNNNNNNNNNNNNNNNNNNNNNNNNNNNNNNNNNNNNNNNNNNNNNNNNNNNNNNNNNNNNNNNNNNNNNNNNNNNNNNNNNNNNNNNNNNNNNNNNNNNNNNNNNNNNNNNNNNNNNNNNNNNNNNNNNNNNNNNNNNNNNNNNNNNNNNNNNNNNNNNNNNNNNNNNNNNNNNNNNNNNNNNNNNNNNNNNNNNNNNNNNNNNNNNNNNNNNNNNNNNNNNNNNNNNNNNNNNNNNNNNNNNNNNNNNNNNNNNNNNNNNNNNNNNNNNNNNNNNNNNNNNNNNNNNNNNNNNNNNNNNNNNNNNNNNNNNNNNNNNNNNNNNNNNNNNNNNNNNNNNNNNNNNNNNNNNNNNNNNNNNNNNNNNNNNNNNNNNNNNNNNNNNNNNNNNNNNNNNNNNNNNNNNNNNNNNNNNNNNNNNNNNNNNNNNNNNNNNNNNNNNNNNNNNNNNNNNNNNNNNNNNNNNNNNNNNNNNNNNNNNNNNNNNNNNNNNNNNNNNNNNNNNNNNNNNNNNNNNNNNNNNNNNNNNNNNNNNNNNNNNNNNNNNNNNNNNNNNNNNNNNNNNNNNNNNNNNNNNNNNNNNNNNNNNNNNNNNNNNNNNNNNNNNNNNNNNNNNNNNNNNNNNNNNNNNNNNNNNNNNNNNNNNNNNNNNNNNNNNNNNNNNNNNNNNNNNNNNNNNNNNNNNNNNNNNNNNNNNNNNNNNNNNNNNNNNNNNNNNNNNNNNNNNNNNNNNNNNNNNNNNNNNNNNNNNNNNNNNNNNNNNNNNNNNNNNNNNNNNNNNNNNNNNNNNNNNNNNNNNNNNNNNNNNNNNNNNNNNNNNNNNNNNNNNNNNNNNNNNNNNNNNNNNNNNNNNNNNNNNNNNNNNNNNNNNNNNNNNNNNNNNNNNNNNNNNNNNNNNNNNNNNNNNNNNNNNNNNNNNNNNNNNNNNNNNNNNNNNNNNNNNNNNNNNNNNNNNNNNNNNNNNNNNNNNNNNNNNNNNNNNNNNNNNNNNNUUAUAAUAAUGCUGCAACAAUACUGUUUUGUUUGCUCUUUCUGAGAGGACAUUGUAAUUGGUCCUAAAAAUUUAACAACCCCCAAGCAUAGUGUUAAGACUUAAGACAGCCUCACCUCAGGUCCUUGAAACUAUCAGGGGAAUUGGGCCCUGGAAUUUUUUUUUUUUUAACAAAAAAAACAACUUACUAGCUUGCAUAAAAAACAGGAUGGAGUCAGGUCUUUGGAUGCCUUCUUUUUUGGCCUGGAGAAAUGGUUUAAAUCAAUUUGCAGGUAACUAGUCGUUAGGGAUUGGACCUAUUGGCCUGGGCUGUGGCCUGCCUGAUUCCGGAGCAAUUGAUUAUUUUCUAGAUGGAUAAGGUUGCCAAGAUUGGAUUCCUUUUCAAUUUGUCCUCGAAACUUGACAAUAUUUUCAAGUACAUUUUUUUUAUGUAAGAAAAAAAGGGUAUUCUUUGUUCUAAUUAUUAUCACUCUUCUCUGAUUCAUAGAAAGCUUUUUUUAUUUACGAGGAAAUGAGACUUUAGAAUUCGGUAGAAUAUUAUUUAUAAUUGUUGUAAUAUAAUUAAUUAAUAAUAAUUCAAUAUUGUGUGGGAUCUGUAAAAAAAUUAUAUAAAACUCAUACUAUUUAGGUUUUGCUUGGUUGAAAUAAUGAAAAUAAGUGAAAUGAAAAUUUUGUUAAUCUAAUGAUUAAGCUAUAAAGUAAAAAAGUUGUUAUGAAUGUUAUCCAUUAAAUUAGUAAUUUUUUCAUCAGUACGUUUUUCUAUUUUUCCUAUCAAGCAAAACCUAAAAGUAUGGAGUUUAUAUAAAUUUUUUUAUUAUAAUUGGUUAAUUAUAGUAUUAAUAAUAAAGAGCAUUAUAAAUGAUACGAAUCCUUUGAAUUCAGUCAUUUAAUCAAAAAAUAUAUGCAUUUGUCGUUAAAAUCAAAUAGUCAAUUAUUCAAACUAAGAGUUUAGCUCAAAUUAUUCAUAUAAUUAUUUUUUAAAAAUUAGCAUCAAUAAUAGUUUUAUACAUUCAAAUCUCAGUAACUUUUUUUAUUUUUAGAUUAUGAAUUUUUGUUAAAGAAAAAUUCUAAUAUUCUCAUUGACGAAAACUUAACUUUACAUAAAACAAAAAUUAGAAAAAAAAAGAAGUAAAAUUUUAGAAAGCAAUCAGUUAAUUCCCAAAUUAACUUGCUUAUAUUUUUCUCCUCUUGGAGAUGUAAUCAUCCCUCACAAUUUUCCACAAUAUAACAGUUUCAAUUUCUUCCCCAUUGAUAAUGAAAGCUAGUCAUAGUCCAUUGAAUUAUGCACUAUUUGUGGUUAACCCCUUUUCAUGGAAUGCAUUUCCAUAAGGCACAUCAAUGUACUACUCUCUCACAUUCUAACACAUGGGUGUGUGGACCUUCAACAUUCUCUUAAUUUUCUCAAAUUUCUUUAUCUUUGUUUUUAAGAUCUUUCCCAAAUUGUCUACUUACAACUUUAUUGAAAUUUAUGAAAAAUGUAAUAGAAAAGUAUUUCUUUCUCUUGUUUUAGCUCACUAAUAUGUAUAUAUCGAUUUAAUUCCACAUAGAUGUGAGAUCUGAUUUCUUUAAUAAAAAUAUUUUUUGUGAUAUUCAACAAAGACAAACAAUUAUAAUAAGAUUGAAUUAAAGAAAAAUUUAAAAAAGAAAUAAUAAUUAUCAUUACAUAUGAAAAUUUAUGAAUAAUGAAUUGAUUAUAAAAUAGGUACUAACAAUAAGUACAAAUAUCAUCAUAAACCAUACUAUAAACAUUUUCAUUUAUGAUUUUUUAUUGUCUUAUUGCAUUGCUUGACUAGGUAUUAUGCUUAUUAGAAAGAGAUCAAAGUAUGAUUAUAUGAAAUUUAAGUAUUUGAUUUAAUAAUUUAAUAUAUGAUAUCACAUUUUUAAAUUAUUAUUUUAAUUUUUUAAAAUAAAAAAAUUAUGUUAAAGAAUCAUUAUAAAUUGUGAUUAUUAAUUAUUAGUGUUAAUAGAUAUUAUUUUUAUUCAUUAUCUCUACCUUUUCUACAGUAUGCAUGAUUAUAAAUUUUUGUUAAAAUUUUAAAUAAUAAUAAUAAUAACAACGAGGAAAAGAAGGAAGAAUGUGGAAAUAGUGGGGCCCACAAAGAUGGGCCCAUAUCCCAUUGUCAGUGACGAGGGUCUGACAUGACAAGCAAACCAAAGAGUGUCUGCAUAGAAGCAUUGGAUUCCAAAAAUUUGUCGUCAAGAGAGGGCACUGGAAAACGACAGGUCGUCGUGGAUUGGUCAUCACCGCAUUUUUUGCGGGCGGGCCGUGGCUUAGACAAAACACAAAAAAAUAUAUAUAUUAUUUUAUUAUUUAUAAUAAUAAUAUUAUUAUUAUUAUUAUCAUCUUUGCUCUGUUGGUGUCGCUUUGCAAUUGACAUUAUCAUCAUGCAAGUAGGAUCGAAGUUGAUGCUUGGAAUUAUGCCUUUCUUUAUCUUGUCUUUUGUCUCUUGCAAAUUCGAGCCGGCCUUUUGCUUUUUUUUUUUUUUUUUUGCCUUAAGACAAAAAUUCAAUAAUUAAGAAUAAUAUAUUUUUAUUUUUGAAAAUUAAGUUUUUUUUUAAUUAUUAUGUCUAACCAAUGUGAAAUAUGAUGGGUUUAGAUAAUGAGAAAAUUUGAUGAAAAUUUGAGAUUGAAUACGGAAGGUGGAUAUUGAUGCAUAUUGGCUUAAAAACAAUCAUUAAGAAGAGAAAGGAUCCAACUUUUAAUUAAAUAUAUUUUAUUUUGAGAUAAUGAAAAUUCAAAAUUACUUAUAAAAAAAAAAACACAUACAUAUAUCAUUGAAUCAAAUUUUUAAAUUAAUUUUAUCAUUUUGAAAAAGAAUUAUUGAAUCUAACUUUCGUUUGAUAUUUUAUUUUUGUUUUUAUCUAAUAAUUUAUUGAAAAAAAUGAUGUGAUAGAACAAACUUAACCUAAUUAAAACACAAUCCAAAAAAAAAAAAAAAGAAUUUGUAUUGAAAUAACUUGGUGCUUGUGUUGCAAAAAUUCAAGGGUAAUUAAAUUUGGAUUUGGUGAGGAUUGAACAUUAUUUAAUGUGAGUCAAGUUGUAUACAAAUAAUUCACGACAUAGUAAUUAUAAGUGCCUAAUUAGAUUAAUAGGCUUGCUAGCUGUUUAUUUUAAAUUGGUUUUCCUUAGUUCUGUUUUAUUCAUUUACUAGGUCUAGUUUAUUGGUCUCAUACUAGGUUUAGAGUUUAGACUAUAUGUAUAGAGGUAAAAUCAUCUACAUUUUCAUUUACUCUAUCACUUUUCAUGAUUGGACUAUCUUUAAAAAAAGUAAAUUAUAAGAUCAUGGACUUAAUUUAAAUUAUGAAUCACAUCUGAGUUAUAUAUAUAUAUAUAUAUAUAUAUAGGAUGAGCAUAAUCCAUGGUGGAAAAGGGCAGAAAUCUUUAUUUCAAACCAAGAUUCUACGUCCUUCUGAAAGCUCUUUAACCACUAAAACAAGGUGUUUAAGAUAUUACAUUGGAGUAUUUGACUCAUUGAUUAGUAUAUAAUUUUCUUAUUCAAAGAAUAAGAGUUGAAAAUUUUUUCAAAUUAAAAAAAGUUAUGAAUCAGUUAGUCCAUCAAUCAAAAUCCAACCCAAUCUAAAUCAAUUUGAAAGGCUCUCCAAUCUGUACUAUGGGUAUGGGCCGAAUUCAUUAAUAUAUAGCCUAAUGCCCAAAUAUGUAAUUGGGGUCUUCUUUGGUCAGUGAUCCUUUACUUCAAUCAAGACACCUAACUGCUUGGAGCAUGAAAUGCUGAUUUUAAGUAUAUUAGUGCAAAUGAACAGGUGUUUGGAUUAUGGAAAUGCAUGAGUAUUGGGCUUGGAUGCAAUUGGUGUAAAAUGAUGCCUUUCUUUGUAGCAGCAUUCAAUUUGUUUUGGAAUUAUCAUUUUAUCUAAUAGUGAAAGAGAUUUUAGGCCCUAAUAGGAUUGGUUAAACUAAGAAGUUUUUAACUGUUUGAGAUAGUCCCAGCAUGCCCUUUUUGCAUGAAGUUCCAAUCAGCAAGCAUAAAUGUCUGACACCUGGCAAGUUAUCUCCUCGUCGACCUGUUCCAAAUCAUAAACAAAGGCCACAGUAUGUCAAAACUCUGACGGCACCUGGAAAUGCUAGUGGACUCGAACUGCAAGAACUAAAGGGCAUAGAAUGCAUGAGAGCUUCUGGCAGGCUUGCAGCACAGGUUCUCAAUUAUAUAUGCUGGGAUCUUUCGGUUUUUCUUGUCAUUGUAAAAGUCUAUAGUUAUUAAGCUGCGUUCUCGGUACAAAGCAGCCUUGCAAUCUAUCAUUUUUCUCCUGUUGUUAGUUUACAUAAUAAACAGUUGGAGAGCUGCAGUCGUGCAUGAAUAUAAAACAUAAGAGGUUGGCAGCUUGUCAGAAAGGUUUGGACUUAAUUUGGAUGUUCAUUCUGUUGUCAGCCAGGCAUAUCACAACUGUUUUUGUUCAUACAAACAACUCUUUCUGUGAUUGCUGAGAUGUGGAAUCUUAUGAUUUAUAUGUACAGUGGGCUGAGAAGAGGAGGUACGAGAUUGCUUGGUUAAUAUCUUCUGUUUUAAGAGGUCAUUUACAUGCUUUUAAUCCAAUCUUUUCAAUGGCGUCGAGAUGUUUGGUAAGGUAUUGCUUCGACUCUCUAUGGAUAUAAUUUCGUGGAAUACUUUAUGUUAAAUGGUGCACUAGUUUAUAUUGAUUCUGAUAAGUGGCAAUAUUUUCCCUACAUGUUUCAGCAUACAUAAACGAUUUUGCCUUCGACAAGGAAUUUCAUCACCCAUUUCAGAUCUUACUGAGAGAUUGCUACUUGACGAACUUGACCCCCUGCAAUACCUCAAGAGUUUUUGUAUGAGUCACCUCUACUUGAUGAGGUGCGGAUUUCUCUUAGCUAGGGUGUUCUUAGAUGUUUCAUGGGGAUAAAAUGACUCAUAAAUGAAUUCGGGUUAAUGCAUGAAUUUGCAAUUUUCUGUGUUUAUUUGCUAGGUUACAUGGAUGUCCCUAUAUGUUUCUUAUUUGUGUGUUGAUUUUGAAAUUCAGGUGGAUAUACAAGCUCUUGUGUCACAGACCUAAAGAAGAGUCAUGAAUCCCACAUCGAAAAUAAUAGGAGGGUCACUGGGAUAUAAAAGAGUUCACACUACCUCUGCCUUGUGAGGCGUCUUUUGUAGGAUAAAACCAUGAGAUCAAAGGGGCCAGAGCGGACAAUACCUCACAAAUAUGUGAAUAGUGACAGUUAGGCUGAUCUGAGACGUCGGAUAAGUGGAUGCCCAGAUCCCAGAGCCGCGCGGGUUUGGAACUUAAGUCUCGACCCGUGACAAGUGAUAUCAAAGCCAUCCCUAAACCGUUCGAUCCACGCCAAGCACCUCGAGGGAGGUAGGCAAGGUGACCAGCCUCCGCGAUGAGAGUAUUACGAGGUUGGGUGGGGGAGAAUAUCACAGAUCUAAGGAAGAGUCCUGAAUCCCACAUCGAACAUAAUAGGAAGGUUACUGGGAUAUAAAAGGGUUCUCACCACCUCUGCACAUCGAACAUAAUAAGAGAUCUAAGGAAGAGUCAUGAAUCCCACAUCGAACAUAAUAAGAGGGUUACUGGGGUAUAAAAGGGUUCUCACCACCUCUGUCUUAUGAGGCGUCUUUUAUAAGACAAAACCGUGAGGUCAAGGGGGCCAAAGCGGAUAAUACCUCACAAGGGUGUGAACCGUGCCGGUUAGGCUGAUCUGAGACGCCGGAUGAGUAGAAUGCCCGGGUCCCGAAGUCGCGCGAGUUCGGAGCUUAAGUCUCGACCCGUAGAAGAGUCCUGAAUCCCAUAUGGAACACAAUAGGAGAUCCCACAUCGAACAUAAUAAGAGGGUUACUGGGGUAUAAAAGGGUUCUCACCACCUCUGUAUUAUGAGGCGUCUUUUAUAAGACAAAACCGUGAGGUCAAGGGGGCCAAAGCGGAUAAUACCUCACAAGGGUGUGAACCGUGCCGGUUAGGCUGAUCUGAGACGCCGGAUGAGUAGAUGCCCGGGUCCCGAAGUCGCGCGAGUUCAGAGCUUAAGUCUCGACCCGUAGAAGAGUCUCGAAUCCCAUAUGGAACAUAAUAGGAGGGUCACUGAGGUAUAAAAGGGUUCUCACCACCUCUGAGGUAUAAAAGGGUUCUCACCACCUCUGUCUUAUGAGACGUCUUUUAUAGGACAAAACCGUGAGGUCAAAGGGGCCAAAGCGGAUAAUACUUCACAAGAGUGUGAAUCAUAUCAAUUAGGUUGAUCUGAGACGUCGGAUGAGUGGAGGACAAUCCCGUUUUGCUAUCCCAACUCAAGCAGGUCACUUGAUUUUACACUGGCAGUGGCUUCAUUAAGUAAACAUUAAGGUUGAAAUUCUGUUUAAAUUGUCAGCAGGAUGCAAAGAAUGUUAGUUUGACUGUUCCAUUUCUUUUAGGUUGAAUUCCUAAAACUGGUUAGAUUGGGUAAUCAUUCUGGUGCUCUAAGUGUCGCAUGCUCCCACUUAGGUCCCUUGGCUGCUAGAGACCCCAAUUUGCUGAAGCCCUUGAAGGAGACUGUUGUCACUGCUUCGACCAAAUGGAGCUGCACUUGUGACAGGCUUGCCUUUGCAUGCUCUUGCAACUUCACUUUAGGUACUUAAAAUUUGGAAUUUUGCAGAUUAUAACCUGGGUUAUAUCCAUGGGGGUUUUUUUUUUUUUAUAACUUUGUUGUCCGUGGAUCGAUGGUUAAUCAUAUAUACAAAUAUUUUCUUUGCUUGUAUAAAACUUGAGUAUAUGGUUUUUCAUAUCUUGGUUAGGAUGCUUUUGGUAAGAAGCUUGGUAUUGAUGAGCCUCACCGUGAGUUGCCUGUUGUUUAAGCUCCCUUUUGGUAGAUACAUUUUGACUUUUGCUAGUUGGCUAUUUGCGUUUGGUUUUGAAUUAUUUUUUAUUUGUUUUUUUAAUUUUUAAUUCAUUUAUUAGAAAAAACAAAAGGUAAAAUGAAAAACGUUUACCAAAUGGAACCCAUAUUUAGCUAUGUGAUUGUUUGCUGCAAUGUUAAGGAUGGCGACGAGUUAAAGUGGAAUUUUCUCUAUCCAAUUUUAUAUUUAUAAUAUUCAAAUUUGAUUCAAUUUAAUAAAAUAUUUUAUUUUUUUAUAUUCGAAUUCGAUUCGAUUUAAUAUAAUAUAAAAAUGUAUUCGACUUAUAAUUAAUAAAGUAUUAUUUUUAAUAUAAAUAUAAAAAUAUAUAUAAUUAAAAAUUAAUUUAUAUAUAUAUAUAUCAAGUAGGGUCGGGAUAAAUUUACUUAAAAUUCGAUUUUAAUUUUGAUUUUAUUUUAUAAAUACCUAAUUUGAUCUCAACUCAAAAUUUAAUUUUCAAAAAUAAAAAUUAUAUUUUAAAAAUUUAGAUCAAAUCAAAACUCAUUAAAUAUGAAUUAGAUCAACAUCUUUAUGAAAUGCUGCUGUUAAGAAGGUUGAAUUUAUCUCGUUGUUGAAAUAACAAGCAGCUGGGAAAUAAGUUGGUGCUGCGAAUGUGGCUUAGCAGAUGUCUGAUAAGGAGCAUGUAAUGGCCAAAAUCUCAACUGUGUUGUUGCUUAGCAUGCAGCUGGGAUUGACCAUGCCUAAAUUUAGUUCGCAUCCUUUUGUUUCGAAAAAAAAAAAAAAAAAUGGAAGAAGCAUGCACACACACACAAUGGUUCUGGGCUUUGAAGUUACUGCUUUCUAUGGGCUUUAGUGAUAAGGCCCAUUAUAUUUAUAUUAAAUUUUGAAUUCUUCUUCUUUGCUCCUCUAUUCAUUUUCCUUCUUAUCAAAUAGUUUUUUUUUCCUUAUUUCACAUUUCAAGGUGCUUAUCCCAAAAAUUUGCUUGUUAUUUAGAUAAAGAAAGAUACUAUCACAUUUACAAGAGUUAGUUAAGUUGGUAAAGGGAGGAAUUUUGUUUUGUUGUCAAUCAAUUUUUGUGGAAACUAUUUUGAAAAUAAAAUUCUAAAUAUACUAAAUGAAAAAAAUAAAUCCUUAAAUUUAUUAAAAAAAUUCAAAUAAAACUUGGGAUAUCCCUUAACUGUAUUACUAAAAAAAAAAUUAAUUAGUAAAAAAGACGAUAAUUCACAUCUUAACUGAGUCUUCUACUAAAUUUAUGGAGUAAGAAGCGAAAAGAUAGUAGCGCUUAUCCAUAACUAAUGAUCAUAUUAAUUAAAAGAAGAGAUUAAAUUUUGAGUGCAUUGAAAUACUUAAAUGUCACGUCCCCGAAUCCGACAUGUCUUUUUUUUUUUUAACCACGCAAGAGAAAUUCAAUAAAAAUACAGCUUUUCACCGACACAAUCAAAACAUCGACUAUUUGUUUUGUUGCUCCAAUAAUUUAAAAAACCCAUGUUUGAUAGAUGGUUUAAAACGCAAGCUAACCAUGUCCAAUCGCCCAUGUGAGACAAGAAUUUUGACAAUCUCCAACAGCAAUGGCUUAAUGAUAGUUAAAACUCUCAAUAACAUUACUUAAUUAAGUUUUUUUUAACUUAUUAGUUGCUCACCCUUUCAUCUCUCUAAACUACAUUUAACAAUUUAUGUAUUAUUGUUAUAUAAAAUAUUGAUAAUUUAUAAAUUACAAUUCAUAUUAAUAUAAAAAUAUAAAAUAUAUUUUUAAUUUUAUUAAAUUUAUUUAUCAAUUUUAUUAAAAUUUUAAAUUAUAUUAUUUUUAUAUUUUUUAUUUAUAUUAAUUUUAUAUUAUAUUAUUAUAUCUUAUUUUAAAUUAUCAUAUUUAUUCCAAAUCUCACCUGCCAAAAAAAAAAGGCCUCACUGAUGAAUUAUGUUUCUAAUUUAUUUCUGGUCAUUAAUGUUUCUCAAACUCUAUGAAAUAUUAAAACUUGCCUAGAUGCCACAAAUGGACACAGCGUGGGGCUCACGUCGCCAGACAUCCGAUAUCCAAUGUUUGAUGGUAUGAGUUUUUUUGGGUUUUUUUAAUUAUUAUUUUGAAUUCUUCUUGAUGCUUCAAAUUUAAGGAAAAGAGUCGAAAGAAAAAAAAAACAUGUGACUUGGGAUAGGUAAUAGGUUUGUCGAAAAAGUCAAUUGCAUUCGCAUAGUGGGGGCUCUGGCUAGAGCCUAAAGCAUCAUGCUUUUCAAGUGUUGCUCCAGCUCUAAUAAUUGUUUUCCUUAAAAAAAACAAAAAUUGCUUUCCUUCAUAUGCUACCACUAUAUUCUCAAUGAGUCGAAGGGAGUAAAGAUAUUUUUGGAUAUUUUAAGUUAUGAUCAUAUUCAAAUCUAAAAUCUUUAAUUUUAAAAUAAAUUUUAAUAUGAUUAAACUAACCAUUUAGUAAUAAAAAAAAUUAUUGCUCAAUUACAGUUAUACUAAUAGAGAAAAGUUAAUAAUUAUUUAGUUGUUAAUUUAAGAUUUAAAAUUUUAAUUUUAACGUAAAUUAAGAAAUAUGAAUAUAUACAUCAGUCAAUUGAUUUUUUUUUUAUAUUUGGGAAUAUCAAAUUUUAAAUUAUAAUUAUUAUAAUUAAGAGUUACUAUUUCAAUAAAAAAAUUUUAUUUAUAAUUAGAGUGGAAAAGGGUUGUGAAAUUAAUAUUGCAAGGUCCAAUUAACAUUUGGCUAAAAAUCAAAGGUCCAACUAACAUUAUUAAUGUCUAACAAAAUUGGCGACUCAGGCUUCAAAAGAAAAUUUUUCUUAAUUGGCCGCAAUAUUAAGAGAAGUCUUUCAUUUUGAAAUAAUUUUCCAAGGAAAAUUACUGUAUCAUCCACUAUAGGUCAAAACAAGUCAUUUUCUCAAGUCUCUUCAUUGUUUUUUUUUUUUUUUUUUUGGCCAACAUUUCUUUAUUAGAGAGGUUAUGGUUACAUCAGAUACUAGAAUUAUGCUUUCCCGAAAAUGGCAUUCUUUCAAUGUUUUUUUUCCCUUCUAUGGAGUCAACUCUAUACAUGUGAAAAAGUCAAAAUUGUAUGAAAGCUUAACAUAUAUAAUUUUUAAAAUAUGUUGAUUUUUUUAGAUUUAAUUAUUUAUGUAUUUAUAUCACAUAAAAUAUUUAAAUUUUAUUUCACACAAAAAUUAUAUGUAAUAAUUUAUGUUAAUAAAAAAUAUAAAAUAUAUUUUUUGAUUUUAUUAAAUUUAAAUAUAAUUAUUGUUAAAAUUUAAAUAGUUUUAUUUUUAUAUUUUAUAUUUAUAUCAUAUUCAUAUCUUAUGAUUGUAUCAUUAUUUAGAUUAAUAAAUUUAUUUUUUUAAUUUGUUAAUGAAAAAAGUAAUUAAUUUGCAAAAAAAAAAAAAAAUUCCUUCAUCAUUAUUCAUUUCCCCGUUUUCAACAAAGAUAACAAGAAAAAUCAUAAAAAAUUGUGGAAGUCAUGAACUAGCACCCCGAUCCAUAUUCAUCAAUCAUAAAAAAUUCCUUUUGCAAAAGUUGAAGAACAACACAUUGUAAUUAAUAAUGGGCAUCAGGAAUAUUUCCACAAUAUAAACAAUUCAUAUAUGCCUGGCAACAUGGAAGCCAACAGCAUAUUUCCUCAAGGCUUUUUAUUUUUCCUUUUACAUAUUUAUAUAUAUAUUUUUUAUGUAAACAAUAGCUUUAUUUCCCUCAAUUAUUGCCACUGAUUUUGAUGACCAAUUCUGGUGGUUUGUUUGUUACAAUGUCAGUUAAAACUUGCUUUAAACAUUAUGUUUAACUAAAAAAUAUAUAUUAGUUUUUUUUUUUUUGCUGAAAAAAAAAGAAAGAGAAAGAGAGAGAAGUUAUUUUAUUUUUGGGAUUUAGGGCUUUGAUGAUUAUUACAUUAAAUUACAAAUUAUUUAAAAAAUUAUUGACAGCGAAAUUCGAGCAUAUAUUUUACAAUAAAAAAAAAUUAAUUAGUUAGUUUAGGUUUGACAGAAUGAUCAUGUCCAAAAAGGGAUUUAGUUAACAAUUUAGGUAAGAAGGUCUCUUUGGGGGGAAUAGGGGCCUUGAAACAAAUCAUGCUCAAUUAUAGGCGUUAGGCGGACGGAGUCCAUUAUGCAGGCAGGCAAUAAAAAUAAUUCCAUUCUUUCAUAUUCUUUCAAAAUUCCAUGCUCUACUGUUAUAAUAUACUAAAUGUGUUUGAAUCAUACAAAUGUGGAGAAGAAAUAAAUUAAACAAUUUUCUUUGUUCAUUUGGAAUUUAAAAUGGGAAAUAAGAAAAAAAAAAAGAGAUAAAAAAAGUGAAGGAUUCCAAUUUCCAAAACCAUGUUUUAAUUUUUUAUUUUGGUUUUAAGUGAAUAAAACAACUCUUAAAUAUCAAGCCAUAUCAAAGUUCUACUUAUUACUGAAUGUGUCAUGACGAAAUAUUAGAGUGAAUUUUUUUAAAAUUAUUCAAGAAAAAAAAUUAAAUUCAAUCAAAAUUUGAUUAAUAUAUCGUUUUAUAAAAAAGAAUUUUAAAUUAAAAUACAAAAAAUUAUAUAUAAUGAAAUUUAAAAUUUUAAUUUGAUAAAUUUUAUUUUUUUUAAAAAUUACACGUAUUAAAUUUUAAAUUUAAUUUAUUCUAUAUCUUUUAUUCUAUUAUUAAAACAUGGUAAAAAAAUCACUUAAUUAAUUACUAACCCUACAUCAUGAUAACACCUGCAUGCAUGCCUGCGCUUUCCGCACAAAUUUUAAGAAAUUAAUUAAUAAAUUAAAUCAUAUAAUGUUCAAAUGUAAGCAAGCUGUAAGCUUAGUAUUUUAUUAAAAAACUAAAUGUGUAAUUUUCAUAAGAUAAUAAAUAUGUUUCACAUCUAUAUUUUGUAAAUUUACAAUAAUUUAUUCUUUUGGGCACUGUGGUAAAGAAAUCUGCGUGGGGCUGUUAAGCAAGUCAAACAAGGCAUUUUUUUCCCAGUACUUAGUCUUUCAUUGUUAUCCUGUGAUCAAUUGACCAGGGAUUAGCAGCUUCAUCAUGAUUAGAUAAUAAUUGACUUUACAAAUGUUGGUUUGAUAAAAAAUAGUUUUUUUCUUUUUUUAGUUAAUUAAAUUUGAUUUUUUUAUAUAAAAAUAUUUUUUUAUGAAUUUAUUAAAUAAACGUAAAUAAAAUUUAUUUGAUUUUGAAUUUAAGAAUAAUCAGGAAAGGUUUAUGGGAAAAAAAAUUAAAUUACUAAAAGAAUUGUGAAAAAAAAAAAAAAAGAAGAAGAGAUAAACAAAGGAAACGAAACAAAAACUUAUAUAAAGUUUUAUAGAUAAAAUUCAUGAAAUUUUUUAUUAUAAAUAAGUAAAUAAAAAUUUUAAUAAAAAAUAUUAAAUUGAUAGAAUUUAAUGUAAAGAUCAAUAAUAUUUAUAAAUAAGUAAAUAAAAAUUUUAUUAAAAAUAUUAUUUAUAAUUAUUGUAACACUUCAAAUCUAAUAUUGAAAGAAUGUAUGGAUAUAAUAUGAUAUAUAUGUAGAUAUCUAAAUUCAAAUUUUGUGAUAUAUUUUUUGUAAGAUAAAAUUGUGAGAUUUUCAGAUCAAAAUAGAUAAUAUUUUACAAGUUGAGUGUGGAUAUCUACAAAUGAUAUCAAAGCAAUUAUCAAUCAACAAGAACUAAAUGUUAUAUUGUGAGAGUCAUUAAAUGUUCUAUGGUGAGGAACUAUAUCUAUAAUCUCAAUAUCUGAUAUGAUCUUGAUAUUGUAGUUGGAUUCGGUUUGACAGAGAUAUUAAGAGAUUGUAAUGCUCAUAAUCAUACAUUGAAAGAAUAUAUGAUAUUGUAUAAUAUAUAUAUAUAUAUAAAUAUUUAAAUCUAAAUCUAUAAAAUAUAUUUUGUGGGAUAAAUCCGUGAGAUUUUUGAAUCAAAGUAGAUAAUAUUUUACGUAUCGAUUGUAGAUCUCGAUACUUGUUAAAUGAUAAAAAUUUUAUAAAUUUUUUACUAAAAAUAUUUAUUUAAUAAAUAUAUCAAAAAUUUUUUUUUUGUAAAUUUUAUAUAUUUGAUAUAUGUGAUGAGAUUUUUUAAUUUUUUAAUUUAUUAAAUUUAAAUUUAAAAUAUUAUUUUUAAUAAAAAAUUUUAUAAAAUUAACUUGUUUAAUUUCACGUAAGUCUUUUACAAAAAAGGUAGAUGAGACGAAGUCUAAUGUUGACUGCUUGGUUGCUUAUAAUGAGGACUCUCAAGGAUGAUGACGACAUAUCAACAAUCCAAACCAACUUGGAUUCCUUUCCAACAAAAUUGUUGCUUUGGCAAUUGAGUUGUGGUUUGACAUUAAAUAGAUUUGGUUGAAUGAAAGAGUUAAGAGGAACGCGUUUGCUUUAAUCCGUGACGAUUGAAACAUUCAAAGCUUAGAAUUAUGGAAAGAAAAUUCUAUUAAUCAUGAAGAUGGUAACAAAAUAUGUAAAUUUCUCCCUUGAACAGUCAACAAUGAAUUUUAUGAAAAAGUCAAUAACCAUAUGAUCUCUGAAAAUAUGAUGAGAUCUUGUUAUCUAAAAUGCUAAUAGUUUAUGGAUUAAAAUACUAAAAUAGUGAAGAAAUGUGUAAAAAGAAAAAAAUAAUUUUAAUUAAUAAAAUAAACUUUUCCUUGUCAACAAAAAAAAAAAAAACUUAGGUUUUGCUUUUGUGAUUUAAAUUUCAACAUAUGUAUUAUAGAAAAAAAAUUAAUAUAUAUUUUUUAGAUCUGAUAAUUUAUAUAUUUAUAUUAUAUUUAUUUAUUUUAAAUAUGAAAAUUAUUGUGUUACAAUAUUAAUUUAUAUGCUUAAACAUAAUACACAUUUAUCAAAAUUUCAAAUUCAUAUAUGUUGAGUUUAUAUUUAAUGUAUCGUCAGUAUAUAGAUAUUAUAUAUUAUCAGUGAAUCAAAUGAUAUUAAUUUAUCAAUGACCAAAUAUAAAUGUUUACUAACACUUAACAUAAUUAUAUAAAAACUUAAUUUAUUUUAAAUGUCUCAUUAAUGAAAUAAUAUAUUCUAAUUUUUUAACAACACAUCAAAUAUAAACUCAUAUAUAGUUUAUAAAAAAUUUAAUCUAUCAUUUUCAUAUUUUUUCAUGUAAUAUUAUUUUAUCAUGUAUAAAAUUAUUAAAUUUAUAUUUUUAAUUUUAAUAUUGUGACUUAUUUUAUAAAAAAUACAAAAAAAUUAAAAUUCACUCCAAUUUGAUUAUUUCAACCAUUUGUCAUAAAAAAAUAAUAAUGCCCAUUGCAGCAUAGAAAAUAUAAAUAAAUAAAUAAAUGAAAAUACUUAAUACUACUAUUACUUAAAAAAAAAAAAAGCAGAAAUCUGUUUUAACAUUAUUAAUUAUCAUUAAAAGAAAACAAAAGUCCAAGUCAAAGAAGAGUCGGUAGCUUCCACUUGACACGCUCUAAGGCCGUGCACUUUAGUUAGAUUCGAGUUUCAUGCUUUGCUCAUUGCUGGGCCUUACCAGAUUUCAGGCAUCUGUUUCUUUCGUACCAAAAACAUAUUUUUUUCUUUUCCUUUAAAUUAUUUACACACAAGAAAAAAGUUUUAGAUCAAAACAAAGAAGCAAGCGGUAAAAUGUUUUUGAUAACAAUAAUAAAACAGGUAAAAAAAAAACAGCUGUUUCGCUUUCAUGUUAUUGUUUUCAACGACGGACGGCUUUGCCUCUUCUCUUUGGCUUCUACCUCUUCUGAUUCUCUUUCUGUUUUUUGCUUUUAGCUUUUCUUUGGGGUUGUUUUAGUAGCUGAGAGUACAUAGGAAAACGAGAUGGAUAGUAACAAUGAAGCCUUCUCUUUUUCUUCUUCUUCUUCUUCUUCUUCGGCUUUGUGAUUGUACAUACUUUAAUCUCUUGCUUUUGUUUUUGCUUCUGGGGUUGCUUCAGCUUCUGCAGAAAUAUCAAUGGCUCAGUAUAUCUGUGUAUUUAACAAGGUACCCUUUAUUUUUCACUUCAUUUUCCUUUGUUGGUGUAGUAAUAUGCUUUUUGUUUUGUAAAAAGAAGUGGGGUUCUUUUGUAAUGCUUAAAGAAGACUAAAAUUUUUGUCAAAUGGCCCUGGAUUGUGUCGGUUGGUGUUAAAGCUCAAAUUUUUUGAAGAAAAUGUUUGAUUUUUCUUUAUUUCCUGUUCAAACAAUUUCUUUUCUUAAGUUAAUAUUUCAGUUUUGUAAAUCAUAUAUUGAUGGGUUUGAAGGAUAAUGCUUUAUUUUCCCUCUUUGCAUGUUUGGAUCUGGGUUUUCUUUCACUGGUUCUUAUGCUUGUUUGUAUAUUUAAAUUGGGCGAUUUCUGGAUAGCUAUUAUCUAUCUGUUUAAAACCAACAUUGCAUUUAUUUUUUUCUGUUUUAGGACUGUUUUUAUUAUUUUUUCUUAGUGUAAAUUACUAAAUUGGCUACUGUUUUAACUUUACUCUUCUAUUUUUCUGUUUCUUUUUCUUUUCCAGGAACUUUUACUUUUUAGCUUGUCUAGUUUAAAUUAGUUUGAAAUAUGUCUCAUAAAAUUUUCCCAUUAUUUUCUACUAAAUGUAUUUGCUUGCAUACCAAUUUUUUAACCUCUUCCUGUUAUAUCCUUCAAUUUUAUGAUAAUUUGGGUUGUAUAUUGUCUCUUUCUAUGCAGGAUACUCUCAUCAUAAAGCCUCCUAAGAAAUCUCUGUUGUUCUUAAGGACAAUUGUUUUAUUGUUUGCUAUGGUGUGUGGUGUUUAUAUCUGUACAAUCUGUUUAAAGCAGAUAAGUACUGUCACCAAGAUCAAAUUUCAGAACAUCCUAGUCAGUGAAAGGCCGUCUCCAGAUAGUAACAUUAUUAAACAAUUAGAAGCUCAAAUUCCCACCUUGCAUUAUCCUAAGCCUGAAAGUUUUAGCAGGUAAGCAAGAAUACUUUUAUUUUGAUUUUUUUUUGUGUUUUGCUUUUGGGUUUCGCCAAAUUUGCUUAAGUUUAGCUAUUGAUACUUUGCCAGGGGUGAAUGCACUCAGAAUCCGGUACGGUUCUUUGCUAUAGUAUCAAUGCAAAGGUCUGGAAGUGGCUGGUUUGAGACUUUGCUAAAUAGUCAUAUUAAUGUAAGCUCAAAUGGGGAGAUAUUCUCUGUAAUGGAUAGGAGGAAAAAUAUUUCGACUAUUAUACAGACUUUGGAGAAAGUUUACAAUUUAGACUGGCUCACUAGUGCUUCCAAGAAUGAGUGCUCUGCUGCAGUUGGCUUCAAGUGGAUGCUGAAUCAGGUAAACAUUGUAGUAUUUUCACUUAUAACAGUGAAAAUUUGCCAGUACGAUUUUAUUUAAAACCAUGGCUGUCAUCAUGUGGUCAAGGCUUAACACUUGUGUUCAUUCCUGGCUCAAAUAUCAUUGGUAGAAGUUGAUGCUCAUCCUCUAUCAUUCUUCACCCCACACCUUGUUAGAAGUCUAACUGCCUUAGAACUUCGAAAUUUGAUUCAGGUAGAUGGUAGGUUCUUAUUUUUCUUAUUUUUGUUUGUCUUGACCAAGUGAUUUUAUGAAGUUCAAGUGAGAAAAGUGCUGGCUUGUUGUCAAGUUGACAGAAUUUAACGAGAAAGAAUCAGAGCUAUCGAUCUAUUUGGUAUUAGCAUGAUUUAUUCACAUAAGGUAGUUUAGUCAGUUCCAGUUUCUAGGAUACCUUUGUGUUCCUGUUUGGUCUGUCAUAAAAAAUGUUUUAACGAAUUCCCUUCCUAAAAGAAAAAGAAUUGGUAAGGGAGUGGUUAGGAGACCUCUAAUUGUCUUAUCUUUUGGUAAUUUCAGGUAAAUUUUUUUGGUAAACUGUGCCCUCUCCCGGUUUACUAAUCUUCUUGUACGUUUUAUCUAUCUGGAUUAGCUAAGCAAAGUAGACUUAUUUCUAGAUUUCUGAUUUUCACGUCUUCAAAACUCUGUAUAAUGAUUAGCCAUAGAAGCAACAAUGCAAUAGAACACUGAAAUUGAGAUGGUGGCAAUCCUAUGUGAUGGAUGGAAAUUAUUUGCAUUUAAGGAGCUGCUUGAUGUUCCAUAGCUAACUGCUUGGUGGAUUUUUCUGCAGGGAUUGAUAGAGCACCAUAGAGAAAUAGUAGAAUACUUCAAUAAUCGGGGUGUUUCUGCCAUAUUUCUCUUCCGAAGAAAUUUGCUUCGAAGGAUGGUUUCAGUGCUUGCAAAUUCGUAUGAUCGCUAUGCUAAGCUAUUAAAUGGAACCCACAAGUCUCAUGUUCAUUCACAGGAAGAGGUCUCUCUCCUUAUCCCACUUUCUCUCUGCUCUCUAUCGUAGACUCACUCAUUCACUCAUUUUUUCACUUUGUUCGGCAAUUGAACUCAUUAUUGCUGGUCACUUAAUGUAGGCUGCUGUUCUUUCAAGUUACAAGCCAAUAAUCAAUUCUACAUCAUUAAUAAGUGACCUGAAAGAAAUGGAGAUGGCUGCUGGGAGGGCUUUAGAAUACUUCAAUAGCACCCAUCACAUGGUUUUGUACUAUGAGGAUCUUGUCACAAACCAGACGGUAAGGCUAGUGACAGGCUUUCAUGAAAUGUUUAUGGAAUUUCCUGACUGAUAAACAACUUUUCUUAAAUGUCCUAGAAUAAGCAUCUUCUCUUCUUAAUGAUUUGCCACCCCCCUCGCCAAUGCCAUAUUUAUAAUUUAUUUUUCUAGAUUCUUUUAUUAGAAUUUGUCAAAGUGAUUGAAACUCUUGAGGGAUCUAAACUUAAUCAUUAAACUUAACCAUGGAUCUAUGUUAAUUGUAUUUUCAUGUACUUAACUUGUCGCCCCACUCCAUGUCAUUGUUUCUCAUGCUUGUACCAGAAACUAAAAGAUGUUCAAGAGUUGCUAGGCCUUCCACAGAUGGAAUUAACGAGUCGCCAGGUCAAAAUACACAAAGGUUCAUUAUCUGAUUUUGUGAGCAACUGGGAUGAUGUGAACAAGACACUAAAUGGGACGGAAUACGAGAGUUUCCUCCGUGCUGACUAUGAAUGACUCCUUUGCUAACAAAAAGAAUGGUGUAGACUGUAGAUACCUUCUUCAGCUAAUUUUUAUUGCUGAAGCUGACAGGACAUUCACUGUGUUUGAAAAUUUUGGCUGCCAUGAAGGCAUGGUGUUCAUCAUGCUGGCAACACUCAGGUGAUCAAUACCGUGUUGAGCCCUGUAACACUUCUUUUCUCUUGAUUUGAAUUUUAUUGAUCAGAUAGACGGCUUGUACAUGUCAGCUAAUGGCAAUUUGGGUGAAUCAAUUGUUCAUCCUUCAAUUAGUGGUUUUUUCCCUUUUUGUCCAUCAGGAUUCUGUUUUUUUGUACUACAGUAUUGGUUCUUGCUUUUGAGUUUCUCUCUUAGUGUGCCACACGCACUCACACAUGAAGAAAAUUAACAACUUGUGAAACUGGGCUGGAGUAAAACUCUUCAAUAUUUCGGCUCCGUUAAUUUUUUGAAAAAAUGGUUUUCGAAAAAUAAUUUUUAAAAAAUAUACAUUUUAUGCAUUUUUUGAAUUAAAAUAGAUUUUUUUAUUAUUUGGAUGAGCUAAUAAAAAUAUUUUUGGUUGUAUGAUUAUUUUUUGAAGAAUCUUUAUUUUUUAAAAUAAUAUUAAUAUAAUUAUUAAAAUAUUAUUUAUUAAUAUAAUAUUAUUUAUAAAUAAAAUUAUAUUAAAAAAUAUUGAUAAAUAAUUUUAUUCAUAACAGUUUUCUUUUCUUUCAAAUUUAUAAGAUAAUUUAAAAAAAUGAUCUUAUUUUUUAUUGAUUAGUAAAUUAUUUUUCAUUAGUCGAUUAGUUUUUUAUCAAAUAAAUAUUUAAAAGUGUUAAAAUUAAUUUAAAAAUUUUUUUUUCACGAAAACAAACGAAAUGUUCCUUCGAAUGAUUGCAUGCAUUAAAAUCAUUGCCACAAGCAACUGUCGUCCUUGUUUAAGUUUGGGUCACCUAAGGAAUGGUUUUCUGAUUGCUCAUUUAUUACCAGUUAUCGGAUUUGGUUUUAACCCUAUGCCAGAGCCCUGAUAAUUUGGAUGAACCACCUUUUCAUUUAAUGGGCUUUUUCUGUUUAGGCAUUGGCCCAAUAUAAACACGCACUUCACAUUCAGAAUGAAAAAUUGGUGAAGCAAAUCAAACCAGAUUAAUUCAGUUUUGCUUGGAAGGCAGAUGGCCCUCAAUCCACAGCUCCAAGUCAGAACAGGAUUUGAGCCAUUCCUUGGCAGCAAGGAAAGAAAUAUCAUCCCCCGCAUCACCAGCAGAUAGCUUAAUUAAGUGCUUUUGAUGAUUCAUUUGCUGCCUAUAGAAAAAAAAAUUUCAAACCACAUCAGGUCACAGCCCUUGAGGUGUUGAUCAUUGCAUGUUCUCUUAUCACAGCAGUUGAGGGCAUAAGAUUAAGCCCUUGCAGAGGCUUUAAAGUAUAGUUAUAUAUGUAUUAGUGCAUACGUAUGUUAGAAUUUCCAUGUGUGGGAACUGCGUUUAGAUGCCUUAAGCUUUAUUGACGGUUUGGAGCAUAGAUCAGCUGGAUGCAAAUGUUCUGCCAUAUCCAUGUUGUGUGAACUUUGGUAUGGAUAUAUCAAAUGUAUGCAUGCCAUUGAUCCAUGCAUUAAGGCAGUGAAUCAAAGCAGUAGGCUUCAGUGGGCUUUGUCUUGUUUUUUCUUUCCUCUCCACUUGCAUCAUUCAAUGUCCUUUGCCCUUCAUAGUACGUCGGCGUUGUUCAAAAUGUGGGCCGCUUCAAGAAGCAGUAAUUCGAACAAGAUUUACAAGCCCAAUUUUUAUUUUAUUUUAUUUUUUAUGUUUUCGAAUUGUAGAAUAAGGCCUUCUGCACUCAUAUUGUCGAGCAACCAAGCAUACGGAAAGCAACAAGCAUCUCCAAAAGGCAAGGAUAUCAAACCCAAGUAUCCAAUAAAUUUUAUUCUAAUAGUAUUAAUAUAUGCCAGUUAUCCCUGCCAACCAUAUUGUCUCAAUGUAAAUGUUAAGAAAAAGCUCUAAAAUCAUUAGAUUUUUUUAUAAAAAAAUCAUAAUUUGAAAAUAAAAAAAAUUAUAAAUAUUGAUAUUUAAUUUUUAAACCUAUUAAAUAUCAUUAUUUAAAAAUAACUAUAAAUAAAUUGAAUUACAAUCCGAAUUUAAAUUAUUAGAUUUUUUUACUCAAAUUAUUAAAUUAAUUUUUUGUUUGUAAAAAAAUAUAACGCUUAUAAGAGAAAGGAGAACCGACAGAAUUAAACCUACAUCCACAUAUAUAAUUCAAAACUUCUUCAACAUUAGGCUAAGAAGCGAACAGCUUAAGUUAUUAAAUCUUUAAUGUAACUUAAUUUACGUCAAGUCUGGCGAGUUAGUGGUUGUAACAAAUACUACUAUUAAAGGCAGUAUAAAAUGUGCACACUCGUCUCCUCUCAACAGUAAAAAAAAUUGCAUAAAGCAAAAUUAACUUCACAUGCAACUUGCUUUUUACUUUAUAGCUUCUAAAACCUAGCUAGAGAUCAGUACCCUUUUAAAAGCUACGAACAAAAGAUAAAACAAAAGAGAGAAUGGGGUUAAAAACAGCGAGGAGUUCUAGUUGGAAACCACAACAUCUUGUCUGAACGAAAAUGUACAAAAUGUUUUAAAACCUUAAUGAACACCAUUACUUCUCCACACAACUCUCUUAAGUAUUUAAAUAUAAAUAUAACUCUAAUAAAUCAUAUAUAUAUAUAUAUAUAUAACUGAACCAUGAUUCAAUAUAUAUAUAUUUUAUAUUUGAAGUUGUCGAUUUUAAUUUUUAAAAUUAAAAUUAUAACACUAUUAAUAAAUUAUAUUAUUAUUGACAAAAUGUUCAAUAAUUAAUUGACAUUAUAUUCAGUUUUCACAUCCUUAAUCACAAUAACAUUGAAUACAAUAAUGUUGUUUGUAGUAAUUAAGCCACACCAGAAAAUAUAAGGGUGAUUUCCAAUUAUUACUUUUUAAAUAUUACCAAGUCUUAGUUUGGAUUUUACUAUAAGUAUGAUGCAAUGCGAUUGAAUUUAUCAUUAGUUAAAUUCAAAUACUAAUUAUAAUAAGUUUCAUUCAGCAUAAAUUUUUUAUUAAAUUUUUUUUUAAUUCAAGUACAAUAAUUUUUAUUAUUGUUUUCAAUCUUAUCGAUCCCAAUUUUACUGGAGUAUGAGAGAAAAAGGAAAUGAGAAAUAUUGAAUUAAUGAAUAAUUGCAUGAUACAUGCAAUUGCAAACUGUUGUGAGAGUACUGUGACCAUAAGCUCUAUGUUGUGGUCGCAUGUGAAAAAAAGAUGCGAGAAUUUUUAGUCAAUUAAUUUUUUGCACGUUGUCACACUAAGAAACCAUAUUUGUUGGUCUUUUGACCCCUCGUUGGCUUGCUCAGUUGCUCUCUUCUUCUAUAAAUAACAGCCAUGGGGGAGGAAGAGGUCUAUAGGCAGAGUUGCUAAUAGCUGUGUUCUUCCCUUGUUUUCCAUACUUCUACCAAGCUUUGCUUAGUUAUAUAUUCCCUCCCUUUCUCCCACUCAUAUAUUCAUUCAUAAAAACUAGCAUUAUGGCCCAAAACAAAGUACCCGUUCUUAUUCUCCUUUUGCUUGUUUUCUUCCUGGAAAUUCAGUGCAUUGUCGGAAGGCAUUUGAUGUUGGACCAAGACCACCAUUUCCAUAAGGCCCAUACUUAUGGUAGAAUCCUAGCAAAGGAAACAGGGACUAUUCUUGAUUGCAAAACAAACUUGCAUGGUGUUCAAAUUGAUAAAGUAGCUGUUGCCGACACGCAGUCUCCACCUUCACCACCAAGUGUGGUUAUAGGAGUAACCGAGGCUCCACCACCCAAAAACGAAAACGACUUCAGGCCCACAUCUCCUGGCCACAGUCCUGGGGUUGGGCAUUCCCUUCAAAACUAGGUCAAAAGUUUCUUGCAAAGUGCUGCAUCAGUAGUACUGCUCCAUCUCCAAGUUAAGCGGUCAUUGCAAACAGAUGGUAUUUCAACAUGGUGACAGCAACUUUGAUCCUGGAACGAAUUCAGUGUGGUUUGAUUUCUCUAUUUGACGUGUCUUGGUUUCAGUUUCAGUUUGAACUGUCUUAGGUUUGAUUGUUGUGCGAAAAUAAUUAGUGUAGUCCAAGACAAAAAAACAAACAAAAAAAAAAAUCAAUUUGUUAUCUUCCCUGUCAGUGUUUGUAAAAAUAUUUAGUCAAGUCAAUAAGCCAAUGAAAUUCAAGGAUUUUGUAGCUCGUUCUUUGUAUAUUGUUGCUUUUAUCAGUGUCCCAUCUGCUGUAUUUGUCAAAAGAACUUUAACAAAAUUCAUCGGUAGUAUUUCUUUUCUGCUACUAGUGGCAUAUCUAUCGAAGUGAUAUAAGGUCACCAGCUGCCGUUGAGAAAUGAAUCUUGACAUUUAAUUUUGGGACCAUAAAAGGAUUAUAUAUAUUCUUUAUUUGUUAUAUUACUCAAUUUAAGAGUGAGUAUCAAAUACUAAUAUGUGUU
rnacentral:lncRNA from 1 species